AUUGAACGCUGGCGGCAUGCCUUACACAUGCAAGUCGAACGGCAGCACGGGUGCUUGCACCUGGUGGCGAGUGGCGAACGGGUGAGUAAUACAUCGGAACAUGUCCUGUAGUGGGGGAUAGCCCGGCGAAAGCCGGAUUAAUACCGCAUACGAUCUACGGAUGAAAGCGGGGGACCUUCGGGCCUCGCGCUAUAGGGUUGGCCGAUGGCUAAUUAGCUAGUUGGUGGGGUAAAGGCCUACCAAGGCGACGAUCAGUAGCUGGUCUGAGAGGACGACCAGCCACACUGGGACUGAGACACGGCCCAGACUCCUACGGGAGGCAGCAGUGGGGAAUUUUGGACAAUGGGCGAAAGCCUGAUCCAGCAAUGCCGCGUGUGUGAAGAAGGCCUUCGGGUUGUAAAGCACUUUUGUCCGGAAAGAAAUCCUUGGCCCUAAUACGGUCGGGGGAUGACGGUACCGGAAGAAUAAGCACCAGCUAACUACGUG
rnacentral:rRNA from 1 species